AUGGAGGGGAAGGGCGCGGUGGCGGCCGGGCUGGUGGGGUUCCUGGGGAUGGGGCUCGACAGGGUGCGGCUGCUGCCGCUGCCGGAGAAGCUGUCGGCCAAGGCGCUGCGGAGCCACGUGCGGGGGCACGGCUCGCGGGAGGCGCGGGAGCGGUGGUGGCGCUGGACGCUCUUCCUCUGGGUGGUCGGCUGGACGCUCAUCUGCCUGCAGAUCUUCCACUACUUCGACUCCGGCGCCGUGGAGAAGCGCCGGGAGUCGCUCGCCAGCAUGUGCGACGAGCGCGCCCGCAUGCUUCAGGACCAGUUCAACGUCAGCAUGAACCACCUCCAGGCGCUCGCCAUCCUCGUCAACACCUUCCACCACUCGCUCAACCCCUCCGCCAUCACCCAGGCGACGUUCGCGAGGUACGCGGAGAGGACGGCGUUCGAGCGGCCGCUGACGAGCGGGGUGGCGUACGCGGUGCGGGUCACGCACGCCGAGCGGGACCAGUUCGAGCGGCAGCAGGGCUGGAGCAUCAAGAAGAUGUACUCCUCCCCCAACUCGCAGGGGCCCGGCGACGCCGCCGUCGCCGAGAUCCGCGGCCCGGCCGACGAGUACGCCCCCGUCAUCUUCGCGCAGGACGCCUACAAGAACGUCAUCUCCUUCGACAUGCUCUCCGGCGCUGACGAUCGCGAGAACAUAAUACGAGCCAGAGAAUCCGGGAAGGGUGUUCUAACUGCUCCUUUCCAGCUGCUGAACGGCCGCCUCGGCGUGAUCUUGACAUACUCCGUGUACAAGUCCGAGCCCCCUGCGGAUGCGAGGCUGCAGGAGCGCGUCCAAGCCGCCAUAGGCUAUCUAGGUGGCAUAUUUGACAUAGAAGCGCUUGUCGACAAGUUGCUUCAUCAGCUCGCGGGGAAGCAGUCCAUCAUGGUGAAUGUGUAUGAUACUACCAAUGACAAGCCGAUCAGCAUGUAUGGUUCGGAUGAUACAGGCAGUGGGAUGUUCCAUAACAGCACGCUCAACUUUGGCGAUCCAUCUAGACGGCAUGAGAUGCAUUGCAGGUUCAUGCAAAAGCCACCAUUGCCAUGGCUUGCAAUAACAUAUUCGUUAGGGGCUUAUGUGAUUGCUUUGCUCAUUGGACAUAUAUUUUAUGCUACUGUGCAUCGUAUCGCAAAGGUUGAAGAUGAUCUUCAAAUUAUGAAGAAGCUCAAGAAGUGUGCGGAAGCUGCAGAUGUUGCCAAGUCACAGUUCCUGGCUACAGUUUCACAUGAGAUCAGAACUCCAAUGAAUGGGGUUUUAGGAAUGCUCCAAAUGCUCAUGGAUACUGAUCUGGACACAACGCAGCAAGACUAUGUUAGAACAGCCCAAGCCAGCGGAAAGGCUUUAGUGUCCCUUAUAAACGAGGUUCUUGAUCAGGCGAAGAUAGAAUCUGGCAAACUCGAGCUUGAGGCAGUGCCCUUCGAUCUUAGACUAGUCUGUGAUGACAUCUUGUCUCUCUUCUGUGGAAAAGCUCAGGAGAAAGGACUGGAGUUGGCAGUGUAUGUCUCUGAUCAAGUUCCACAAACACUUAUUGGUGAUCCGGGUAGAAUGAGGCAAAUCAUUACAAAUCUCAUGGGGAACUCCAUAAAAUUUACAGAAAGAGGACACAUCUACUUGACAGUUCAUGUCGUCGAAGAGGUCAUGAGUUGUUUAGAGGUGGAAACAGAAUUUCAAAACACAAACAACACCUACAACACCUUGAGUGGCUACAAGGUAGCUAACAGAAGGCAUAGUUGGCAGAGCUUCCAGCUUUUCAAUACGGAUUUACACUCGGCUGAGAUGCCCUUUGCUCCUAUCCUGCCUGAAACAAUAAGAUUGAUAAUAUCUGUUGAAGAUACCGGCGUCGGCAUCCCACCUGAAGCCCAAUCCCGGAUAUUCAUGCCUUUCAUGCAGGUUGGUCCAUCCAUUGCCCGCAUCCAUGGGGGCACGGGCAUCGGAUUAAGCAUCAGCAAGUGCCUGGUUCAUCUCAUGAAGGGGGAGAUUGGGUAUGUAAGCAUACCCAAUGUUGGUUCUACUUUCUCCUUCACUGCAGUGCUUACGAAGGCACGCUCCAAUGCAAAUGCUAACAAAUCGCCAGGGUUUAAAGGGAUAAAUGCAUUGGUAGUUGAUCAUAAGCCGGUUCGUGCCAAGGUUACCAAGUACCAUUUGCAAAGGCUUGGAGUCAAAACGGAAUUGACCACUGAUGUAAACCAAGUUAUUCCUAAGAUGAACUGCGCAUCACUAGUUACAAGGCUAGUGCUAGUUGACAAGGAAACCUGGAUGAAGGAAUCCCAUUCAAUGCCUCAUUUGCUUAGCAAACUGCGGAGCAAAGAUCAGUCAGACCCUCCGAAGCUCUUUCUUUUGGAGAACCCUACGAAUUCUAUCAAGAGCAGUUCAAAUAUAUCGAGGGAGCAUAACUUGAAUGUAAUCAUGAAGCCGCUUCGUGCAAGUAUGCUUCAGGCCUCACUAAGGCGGGCUUUGGGCGGAGUAGAUAAGGUGCAUGGCAAGAAUGGAGUCGUUGGCAACUCAGCGUUGGGUAGCCUUCUUCACAAGAGGCAAAUCAUUGUGGUUGACGAUAACGUUGUGAACCUUAAAGUGGCUGCUGGUGCUCUCAAGAAGUAUGGCGCAGAAGUAAUUUGUGCAGACAGUGGGAAGAAAGCAAUCGCAUUGCUAAAACCACCUCACAGUUUUGAUGCUUGUUUCAUGGACAUACAAAUGCCAGAAAUGGAUGGGUUUGAAGCCACCAAGAGGAUCAGAAUGAUGGAACGAGAGCUAAAUGAGCGGAUAGAACGCGGAGAAGCGCCACCAGAAUGUGCUAAAGUUCGGAGGUGGCGAACUCCGAUAUUGGCCAUGACGGCAGAUGUUAUCCAGGCAACAUAUGAGCAGUGCUUGAAAUGUGAAAUGGAUGGCUAUGUCUCCAAGCCAUUCGAAGGGGAGCAGUUGUACAGAGAAGUAACUCGAUUUUUCCAAAGUCAUGACCAUGUUCAGUAG
rnacentral:rRNA from 1 species